rnacentral:rRNA from 1 species
GUGGGGAAUCUUGCGCAAUGGGCGAAAGCCUGACGCAGCGACACCGCGUGAGGGACGAAGGCCCUCGGGUUGUAAACCUCUUUCGGCAGGGACGAAGCGAUCGUGACGGUACCUGCAGAAGAAGCCCCGGCUAACUACGUGCCAGCAGCCGCGGUAAGACGUAGGGGGCGAGCGUUGUCCGGAUUCAUUGGGCGUAAAGAGCGCGCAGGCGGCUUGGUAAGUCGGAUGUGAAAUCCCGGAGCUCAACUCCGGGCCUGCAUCCGAUACUGCCCGGCUAGAGGUAGGUAGGGGAGAUCGGAAUUCCUGGUGUAGCGGUGAAAUGCGCAGAUAUCAGGAGGAACACCGGUGGCGAAGGCGGAUCUCUGGGCCUUACCUGACGCUCAGGCGCGAAAGCUAGGGGAGCGAACAGGAUUAGAAACCCCGGUAGUCC